AUUACUUUGACAGAUAAAUUGUAAUAAAUUUAGAAUUUAUAAAUGUAAAUAAUUUACAAGUAAUA
rnacentral:tRNA from 1 species